GAAGAGCCUAACGCAAUCUGAGUCCAUAAACCAAGUGAGUAGAGGGAUUUGUCUACAAUGUGUUUUGUUGUAUCUUUGAAAAGCUGAAGAUCCCAUUCCUCUGCUUUGCUAAUACUUGCUUUGAUAUCAGUAAAGAGCUUCUUUGGUUUGAACUGUCCAACCAAUCCUAGCCACCUACAACGAUCAAUAGACCAUCUCGAUCAAAUCCAACAACACUGAAAAAGACAAAACAUCCAAAUGUUGUAAAGUCGUGUUCUUGAACUCAAAGCCUCAGCUAAAACCUUAAACAUCACUCAAACACCAUCUCUCUAAACCAAAUCCAACAAAAUCAACAACACUGAGAAAACGACAAAACAUCCAAAUGUCGUAAAGUCGUGUUCUUGAACUCAAAGCUAAAACCUUUAACGUAACACACUCAAACACCAAA